CGACUUUCUGGCCUGUAACUGACACUGAGGCUCGAAAGCUAGGGGAGCGAACGGGAUUAGAUACCCCGGUAGUCCUAGCCGUAAACGAUGAAUACUAGGUGUAGGGGGUAUCGACCCCUCCUGUGCCGGAGCUAACGCAAUAAGUAUUCCGCUGGGGAGUACGGCCGCAAGGUU
rnacentral:rRNA from 1 species